rnacentral:rRNA from 1 species
AGUGAACGUUGGCGGCGUGGAUUAGGCAUGCAAGUCGAGCGAGAACCGUAGCAAUACGGGGACAGCGGCGAAAGGGACAGUAAUGUGUAGGUACCUACCCCGAGGUCUGCGAUAGCUGCGGGAAACUGCAGGUAAUACCGGAUAAUGUCUUCGGACCAAAGGUGUGAUUCCACCUUGGGAGGGGCCUGCAUCCUAUUAGCUUGUUGGCGGGGUAACGGCCCACCAAGGCGACGAUGGGUAGCGGGUGUGAGAGCACGACCCGCGUCAUUGGGACUGGGGCCCUGCCCAGACACCUACGGGUGGCUGCAGUCGAGGGUCUUCGGCAAUGGGCGCAAGCCUGACCGAGCGACGCCGCGUGCGGGAUGAAGGCCUUCGGGUUGUAAACCGCUGUCGUAGAGGAGGAAAUGCAGGGGGGUUCUCCCUUCUGCUUGACCUAUUCUAGGAGGAAGGACGGGCUAAGUUCGUGCCAGCAGCCGCGGUAA